ensembl:lncRNA
UAAGCUUCCGGCCUGUCACAGGUAGUAGCUGUGCCCUCGACAGCCCUGUGCCCUCCCCUGGGGUUCCUCCCCGCAGGAGCCCACAGGGUAGUAAUGGUGGUCUGUCUUCACGUCCUAGGGCCGCCUUCCGGGGGGUGACUUACACAACGGAGAUGUGUUCUCUCAGUUCUGGAGGCUGGAAGUCUGGUGUUGGCGGGGUUGGUUUCUUUCUGGGGGCUGUGAGGGGAGAGUCUGUGCCACGCCUCUCUCCUAGUGUCUGGUGAGGAGCUGGCCCUCCGUGGCACCCGUGGGCUGGUGGCUUUGUCUUCACGCGGCGCUCUCCCUGUGUGAGUCUGCGUCCAGCUUGCCUGCGGGUGGCAUCACCAGUCGCACUGGAGUGAUUAGGGGCCCCCCCAGUGACCUCCUGUUCACUUGAUUACUUACCUCUGUAACGGAAGAUCCACAUUGGGUGACAUUCUGAGAUCCCGAGAUGAGGACAUCCACAGAGCCUGUUGGGGAGACACCGUUCAGCUCACCGGACGGUCCUUGCACUGUUGUCCUCACUUCAAAAAAUAUAAGAAUUAAGCGUUUCUGCAUAUGGACUCUUAUUAGAUACUGUUUGUUAUGAGCAUAGACUCUGGAGAUGGCCUGGGUUGGAAUCCUGACCGGGCCACGUCCUCGCUGUCUCAUCGUGGGCAAAGCGUUUAGGCGCCCCGUGAUCAGCCGUAAAGCGGGACUCGUGGUCACACGGUUGGGUCGAUAUGAACGCCACAUUAAUAGUACACCUAAAAUGUCUCACCUUGUUAUGAUCCUACCGUGCUUGGAAAAGGCUGCACCUAGCAACAACAGCAAAGGGACGUCUGUUGGAACUGCAUUGCUGAUCAAGGGAGUGUUCUGUCUUUGACGAAAGAAGAGAACCUCCCUCCCCGGCCAUGGGCCACCCUGGCCAGAGACUCCAAGUGGAACCACUUAGCGGGCACGUGGCUGCAGGGAACAGGAACCCCAGCCCUCACUCACGUCGCCCAGAGGACCGGUGGGAAUUGUUCAUAGUGCCAAAGUCCUACUACUGCGUUUUCAAUGGGUCCCUGUAAAUAGUUUGCUCCUCUGCCCUGGCCCCCACCUCUUGCUAUACUGGAACCAAUUUGUACAAUGUGGGAAUUUUGUUACCUUUUUAAUCAAGGGCAGCAUCCUUUUCCAGCGCUAUCAUUGUAAGGUUUGUUUUUUUUCCCAGGCGGGAGGGCUGAUCACACGUGCUUUUCUCUUUUUUCCUUUUCUUUUUUUUUUUUAAUUUUUAUUUUAUUAAUUUUGGGCAGUGGGGGGAAGUUAGCAUUAGUGCCGUUAUAUCUACUGGACUUUAGGUAGGGAGAGUUCAUUUUUUUUUUUUUUAACGUAGUUUGAAAUUUGCGCGAUUUCUCUAUGGGAAGGGCUUGGAUUGGGGCAUCUGUCUCCACUUUGAGAGGGUUUACAGAUGAUGGAGCUUCCGGAUCAGACCCAUUUCCAGUUCUCCCCCUAGCCCCCACCCCCGGGGUCCCUGUUUAGCCACGCACAAGGCUUUCCAAACUGCCAGCAGGUAGAUCUGCUUUCUCCACCGCCUGGCCUCUUCGGCUGACCGUGGGCCGAGCCAGCACCAGAGACCCCAGGGGCAGGUGGCCUCUUUUCAGAUACCAGCAGAAAGGGCUCCCCCAUUUUUAGCAUUAUCGUUACUUCUAUGAAAUUAAAACAAAAAGAGGUCUUCCUAUCUAGAUGGUACAAAGAUGAACCGCUUCAGUUUUUGGUUUCUGUUCCUGACUGGCUUUUCUCAGUGUGGUUUUUGACAAGAUUUCAGCUUGAAGCCUCACCAUGAACUGGUUUUUGUUUGUUUGUUUGUGUGUUUGUUUUUGGGCCAAUUUUAGAUUCUGGAGUGCACUUUUUUUUUUUUCUUUCCAGUUAUUCCUAACUUCUAAAGAGGAAAAACCAAGAGACAUAUCUGGUGUAAAUGUCGCAAUAUGAGUUGUGUUUGCAACCCACCCCUCCCCCCAGCCCCCCAUUUGGGUACCCUGCACAAAUAAAAUGCUAGGGAGUUUGAAAAAAAAAAACA